CCCUUAGAUGUUCUGGGCAGCACGCGCGCUACAAUGGUCUUCGCAAACGGAUGCAUUCUCGAAGGAGAAUGCCAAUCUUGGAAUCUAUGCCUUGGUCGGGACAGUUGCUUGCAAUUUUUCGACUCGAACCAGGAAUUCCUUGUAAUCGUGAUUCAUCACAUCACGAUGAAUACGUCCCUGCCCUUUGUACACACCGCCCGUCGCUACUACCGAUUGGAUGGUUUAGUGAGAUCCUCGGAUUGGUCACGGCACGGUGGCAACACCGCGUCGGUGUGCCGAGAAGACGAUCAAACUUGAUCAUCUAGAGGAAGUAAAAGUCGUAACA
rnacentral:rRNA from 1 species